UAAUUCCGAAAAUGAGGCAAAGUAUCGAGCAAUUGUAGCUCCGAUACCAAACUAUCACGAGCCUUGAGUACGUAGCGUAAUUUUUCUUGUCUCUUUUGUUUUCAAAAUAUUAUGCGAGGCUCCUCUGAACUUCGACCAGCCAACUCUAUCUCCCCAUACAACGUCUUGGUUCUGGUAGGCGAGGGCCUUAUCAUGCCAGGUUUGCAUUAUCUGUGUUCACACUUCACUUUUCUCCCUUCUCUCUUUUGUAUUGGAUUGCAAUCCUUUUUCAUACAAGUGUCUACCUUCUUUCUCACAAGUUUUGGGAUUCUCUAAUGCUCACAUACAUACAUAGUUUGUGGAACUAAGCAUUCCUUUUUUCAUUGAUAGAUGCAAACUACAAUUACAUGGAACUCUUCUUUGGCUUGUCAAGUCUAUUAGGCAAAGUCCAAAUCUAAGUUUACCUAUUAUGAGCUACGCCCUAUAUAUAAGCCUACUCGAGUUUGGAAGUUACAACCCAACUUCCCUUAGGUAUAUGUGGCAUUCAUACCUUAUUUUUAGGAGUAGUGGACAUCCCCCACUAUAUAGGUUUAUUAACCACUUUAGAUAACCACCAAGAUAUGCAUAACUUCUUUGCAAACUUCCCAACUUUUAUAGUUUUAGUGUUAGGUAACCGCCCACUAACUUGCAUGUUUUGUGGAGAUAACUUCCCACUAACUUUGUAACCGUCACGCACACGUGUGCACCCUAGAGUGCACCCGCACGCACCUUUCGUUGCAUCUUACCGAACACCUUGCCGAGCACCCUGCAGCGCACCUUCCUCGCACCUUUCUCGCACCUUUGUAGCACCUUGCCGAGCACACUUGUCAUGCACCCAGCAGUGCACCCUCUCAUGCAUCCUUCCGCACCCAACAACGCAUCCUACCGAGCACACUCAUCAUGCACCUACUAUGGGUUACACCUUAUAUAUAAGCCUACUCGAGUUUGGAAGUUACAACCCAACUUCCUUUAGGUAUAUGCGGCAUUCAUGCCUUAUUUUUAGGAGUAGUGGACAUCCCCCAUUAUAUAAGUUUAUUAACCACUUUAGAUAACCACCAAGAUAUGCAUAACUUCCUUACCAACUUUCUCACUUUUAGUGCUAGGUAACCGCCCACUAACUUGCAUGCUUUGUGGAGAUAAUUUCCCUCUAACUUUGAAACCGCCAUGCACACGUGUGAACCCUAGAGUGCACCCGCGUGCACCCUUCGUUGCAUCCUACCGAGCACCCUGUAACACACCUGCCUCGCACCCUUUUAGCACCCUGCAGAGCACACUUGUCAUGCACCCAGCAGUGCACCCUCUCAUGCAUUCUUCUGCACCCAACAACGCAUCCUAUCGAGCACACUCAUCAUGCACCUACUAUGGGUUACGCCUUAUAUAUAAGCCUACUCGAGUUUGGAAGUUAGAACCCAACUUCCUUUAGGUAUAUGCGGCAUUCAUGCCUUAUUUUUAGGAGUAGUGGACAUCCCCCAUUAUAUAAGUUUAUUAACCAUUUUAGAUAACCACCAAGAUAUGCAUAACUUCCUUACCAACUUCCCCACUUUAGUGCUAGGUAACCGCCCACUAACUUGCAUGCUUUGUGGAGAUAACUUCCCUCUAACUUUGUAACCGCCGUGCACACGUGUGAACCCUAGAGUGCACCCGCGCGCACCCUUCGUUGCAUCCUACCGAGCACCCUGCAACGCACCUUCCUCGCACCCUUGUAGCACCCUACCGAGCACACUUGUCAUGCACCCAGCAGUGCACUCUCUCAUGCAUCCUUCCGCUCCUAACAACACACCCUGCCGAGCACCCUCAUCAUGCACCCAACAUUGCACCAUGCCGAGCCCUUUGGAGUCCAUACCAACUUCCCACGUUUGGCUUGGAUUGUUGUCGUACAUCAACUUUCCCAUCCUACUUGUGCUUGUGUUUGCUUGUGCCUUCAUGCGUGUCGACAUAGUGCAAAGACAACUCAUGUCGCUCACCUUGCCGGCUAUGGGACUUUAGAGAUGUAACAAACCGCCCCCGUUUGAGUUUGGCGAUGCCCUUGUUGCCAAUGGUCUUGCGCUUCAUCCCUUGCUUGCUGCCCGCUUCUUUCUCCCACUUGGCUGCAUCAUCCUUGAUGCCCUUGUUGGCAUCAUAUACUUUCAAUGCCUUGGUAAACUCCUCCCAAGUUACCUUUUCUCCCUCCUUUAGCCUCGGCUGAUUGCCUUGAGUUUUUUCACCAAGGAUGUCGAAUAAUGACUCUUCGUUCAACUUUUCUAGUUCUCCCCAUGCAGGCCAAUUUGCUGCAGCAUCCUCCUUCUUUUGCUCAGUCCAAGUAGUAGUUUCCAAGCUCUUCUCGCUCUCGAGACUCUCUUCUUCUUCGUCAUCACUUAUGACGAUGACAUCCGGUAGAUUCAUGGCUCCCUUCUUCAUGUCUUCAUGCUUCUGACUGUUCAAGACCCAUUCAUACGCAUAUGCGUCCAUGACUCGCUUGGUCUCCUCAUAGAUUGCACUCCACCUUCGGAAAGGAGGAAACACGCUAAAGGUGAGCAUGUCUCUCCAUACUUUGGUGUAGAGCUCGAAUUUCUUUCCCUUCAAGUGCUCCUCCCACAUCUUCAUGGUCUGGCAGCAGAAAUAACUUCCGCCUCCUUAAUAGUGUAGGUUGAGAGCAGUGGAUCCUCGAAUGGCAUAAUCUCGUCGAUAAAAAGGAUGUCUCCUUCAACAAUGAGUGAGGACAUGAUGGUGUAGUUCCCAUAAUGGUAGGCAAAUAUAUCAACAUAGACAUCUAAAUCAGCAUACUUCAUAUCACCCUCCAAUGAUAAAGUAUUGUGUAGCACCAUCGAACUCAUGAUUGCCUCUGUUUCUUCUUGUGUUUCUUUUUCUUUGAGGUUGUUUGCAAUUGAAACUAGAGCACUCAAUGCUUGCUUUUGGCUACAGAAUUUCACCAAGUGUGGUCCAUUGCAUAUAAAGCACGAAAGUAACCCUUUGUUGUGUGGCAGAUCAUGGGUAGUGCCCAUGUUUUUGCUCAUUAUUGUGGAAAUAGUGGGUGGGUUGGCAGUUUUGUAACCGCCUCUCCCACUCUCCAGCCCCUUGACACGCCCUUGGAAUGAGUCAACUCCGAUUAUUCUGCUUAUCUCUCUCCUCUUGUCUAAAUAUGCAGGGCUUGUCCGAAAAUUGACUUGGAUACAAUUCACGCAAGCGAACGUAUCAUUGUCAAGAUAGGGAAGUAUAAGUGCCUAAGUUAUCGUACCACGGGGAUUAGUGGCUAACCCACAAUCCUAGGCUAAUCGAAACAAAAGUCACUAAUAAGCAAACAAAGAAAAAGAAAAAGAAAAAGAAAAUAAGGAAAUUGCUAAUCUAGGCACCAAGCCUUAGUAAUGCUCAGCUCUAGUUCUCACCAAAGCCUAAUCAAAACUAGAUGCCUAGUGACGGUUAUCUACAAUGAGUCAAAAUAUAAAAGGGAGAUGGAAUGAGGAGUUGACUAAAUUGACUACAAACAAAAUGAGAAAUAAACUACUAACUAAUGAACUAGAGAAUGAUGAGAACAUGGGAGUGUCGGGUGAUCCACACUAACUCAUAUGCAAACAUCGAUACCAAUUUCACAAAUGCAUAUCAUAUUGUGUCAAGUCCCGUAUCUAAUACCGGUUAAAGCUACUAGAUCAAUUAUCUUUUCGGUGUAUCGAUUAUGCCGGUUAAGGCCACAAUCGACCCUCUAACAUGGGCAUUACACCGGUUAAGGCUGUAACAUCCAAAUUAGAGGCCUAGAGUGCAAGAUAAUAGAGACACAAACAAGCUUAGCUACAAUCAAGCUAACUAAUGGUUACCACAAUUCAAAUCCUAAAUGCAUAAGACUAAUAAGUUGUCAAUUUAUCAAUCUAAUCAUCAAAUUGUCCACAACAUAAUCUCAAAGGGUGACAAAGCCUAGAAACAUGCCUCUAAGGACCAACACAUUCGGAUUCAAAGUAUACACAAUGAAAAUUGCAUUCAUUUCAAUUAAAGUACCAAUAUUUAUACAAAAUGAGUUUAGGGCUUCACAACCCUAACUCCCAAAAUUGAA
rnacentral:lncRNA from 1 species